rnacentral:rRNA from 1 species
ACUAAGCGUACACGGUGGAUGCCCUGGCAGUCAGAGGCGAUGAAGGACGUGCUAAUCUGCGAUAAGCGUCGGUAAGGUGAUAUGAACCGUUAUAACCGGCGAUUUCCGAAUGGGGAAACCCAGUGUGAUUCGUCACACUAUCAUUAACUGAAUCCAUAGGUUAAUGAGGCGAACCGGGGGAACUGAAACAUCUAAGUACCCCGAGGAAAAGAAAUCAACCGAGAUUCCCCCAGUAGCGGCGAGCGAACGGGGAGCAGCCCAGAGCCUGAAUCAGUGUGUGUGUUAGUGGAAGCGUCUGGAAAGGCGCGCGAUACAGGGUGACAGCCCCGUACACAAAAAUGCACAUACUGUGAGCUCGAUGAGUAGGGCGGGACACGUGGUAUCCUGUCUGAAUAUGGGGGGACCAUCCUCCAAGGCUAAAUACUCCUGACUGACCGAUAGUGAACCAGUACCGUGAGGGAAAGGCGAAAAGAACCCCGGCGAGGGGAGUGAAAAAGAACCUGAAACCGUGUACGUACAAGCAGUGGGAGCACGCUUCGGCGUGUGACUGCGUACCUUUUGUAUAAUGGGUCAGCGACUUAUAUUCUGUAGCAAGGUUAACCGAAUAGGGGAGCCGAAGGGAAACCGAGUCUUAACUGGGCGUUAAGUUGCAGGGUAUAGACCCGAAACCCGGUGAUCUAGCCAUGGGCAGGUUGAAGGUUGGGUAACACUAACUGGAGGACCGAACCGACUAAUGUUGAAAAAUUAGCGGAUGACUUGUGGCUGGGGGUGAAAGGCCAAUCAAACCGGGAGAUAGCUGGUUCUCCCCGAAAGCUAUUUAGGUAGCGCCUCGUGAAUUCAUCUCCGGGGGUAGAGCACUGUUUCGGCAAGGGGGUCAUCCCGACUUACCAACCCGAUGCAAACUGCGAAUACCGGAGAAUGUUAUCACGGGAGACACACGGCGGGUGCUAACGUCCGUCGUGAAGAGGGAAACAACCCAGACCGCCAGCUAAGGUCCCAAAGUCAUGGUUAAGUGGGAAACGAUGUGGGAAGGCCCAGACAGCCAGGAUGUUGGCUUAGAAGCAGCCAUCAUUUAAAGAAAGCGUAAUAGCUCACUGGUCGAGUCGGCCUGCGCGGAAGAUGUAACGGGGCUAAACCAUGCACCGAAGCUGCGGCAGCGACACUAUGUGUUGUUGGGUAGGGGAGCGUUCUGUAAGCCUGUGAAGGUGUACUGUGAGGUAUGCUGGAGGUAUCAGAAGUGCGAAUGCUGACAUAAGUAACGAUAAAGCGGGUGAAAAGCCCGCUCGCCGGAAGACCAAGGGUUCCUGUCCAACGUUAAUCGGGGCAGGGUGAGUCGACCCCUAAGGCGAGGCCGAAAGGCGUAGUCGAUGGGAAACAGGUUAAUAUUCCUGUACUUGGUGUUACUGCGAAGGGGGGACGGAGAAGGCUAUGUUGGCCGGGCGACGGUUGUCCCGGUUUAAGCGUGUAGGCUGGUUUUCCAGGCAAAUCCGGAAAAUCAAGGCUGAGGCGUGAUGACGAGGCACUACGGUGCUGAAGCAACAAAUGCCCUGCUUCCAGGAAAAGCCUCUAAGCAUCAGGUAACAUCAAAUCGUACCCCAAACCGACACAGGUGGUCAGGUAGAGAAUACCAAGGCGCUUGAGAGAACUCGGGUGAAGGAACUAGGCAAAAUGGUGCCGUAACUUCGGGAGAAGGCACGCUGAUAUGUAGGUGAAGCGACUUGCUCGUGGAGCUGAAAUCAGUCGAAGAUACCAGCUGGCUGCAACUGUUUAUUAAAAACACAGCACUGUGCAAACACGAAAGUGGACGUAUACGGUGUGACGCCUGCCCGGUGCCGGAAGGUUAAUUGAUGGGGUUAGCGGUAACGCGAAGCUCUUGAUCGAAGCCCCGGUAAACGGCGGCCGUAACUAUAACGGUCCUAAGGUAGCGAAAUUCCUUGUCGGGUAAGUUCCGACCUGCACGAAUGGCGUAAUGAUGGCCAGGCUGUCUCCACCCGAGACUCAGUGAAAUUGAACUCGCUGUGAAGAUGCAGUGUACCCGCGGCAAGACGGAAAGACCCCGUGAACCUUUACUAUAGCUUGACACUGAACAUUGAGCCUUGAUGUGUAGGAUAGGUGGGAGGCUUUGAAGUGUGGACGCCAGUCUGCAUGGAGCCGACCUUGAAAUACCACCCUUUAAUGUUUGAUGUUCUAACGUUGGCCCGUGAUCCGGGUUGCGGACAGUGUCUGGUGGGUAGUUUGACUGGGGCGGUCUCCUCCUAAAGAGUAACGGAGGAGCACGAAGGUUGGCUAAUCCUGGUCGGACAUCAGGAGGUUAGUGCAAUGGCAUAAGCCAGCUUGACUGCGAGCGUGACGGCGCGAGCAGGUGCGAAAGCAGGUCAUAGUGAUCCGGUGGUUCUGAAUGGAAGGGCCAUCGCUCAACGGAUAAAAGGUACUCCGGGGAUAACAGGCUGAUACCGCCCAAGAGUUCAUAUCGACGGCGGUGUUUGGCACCUCGAUGUCGGCUCAUCACAUCCUGGGGCUGAAGUAGGUCCCAAGGGUAUGGCUGUUCGCCAUUUAAAGUGGUACGCGAGCUGGGUUUAGAACGUCGUGAGACAGUUCGGUCCCUAUCUGCCGUGGGCGCUGGAGAACUGAGGGGGGCUGCUCCUAGUACGAGAGGACCGGAGUGGACGCAUCACUGGUGUUCGGGUUGUCAUGCCAAUGGCACUGCCCGGUAGCUAAAUGCGGAAGAGAUAAGUGCUGAAAGCAUCUAAGCACGAAACUUGCCCCGAGAUGAGUUCUCCCUGACUCCCUGAGAGUCCUGAAGGAACGUUGAAGACGACGACGUUGAUAGGCCGGGUGUGUAAGCGCAGCGAUGCGUUGAGCUAACCGGUACUAAUGAACCGUGAGGCUUAACC